rnacentral:rRNA from 1 species
UUAUUUGAAAGUUUUGAUCCUGGCCUCAGGGACGAACGCUGGCGGCGUGCCUAAAAAUACAUUGAAGUUGAGCGAUGAAGAUGUGGCUUGCACCAAUUUGAAGAGAGCGAACGGGUGAGUUAAACGCGUGGGCAAUCUGCCUUUGAGCGGGGGACAACAUUUGGAAACGAAUGCUAAUAACCGCAAAAAAAAGAUAACAAUUUAAACCACAAGUUUAAGUUGUGAAAGAUGCAGUUGCAAUCACUAAAAGAUGAAUCCGCGUUGUAUUAAGCUAGUUGGUGAGGUAACAGGCUCACCAAGGCGAAUGAUCAUAGCGACCUGAGAGGGUGAUCGGCCACAUUGGGACUGAGACACGGCCCAAACUCCUACGGGAGGCAGCAAGUAGGGAAUGCUUCGGAAUGGACGAAAGUCUGACCGAGCAACGCCGCGUGAGUGAAGAAGGAUUUCGGAUCGUAAAACUCUGUUGGUAGAGAAGAACGUUGGUGAGAGUGGAAAGCUCAUCAAGCUGACGGUAACUACCCAGAAGGGCGGUUUUUUUUUUUUUUUUUUUUUUUUUUUUUUUUUUUUUUUUUUUUUUUUUCUAACUACGUGCCAGCAGCCGCGGUAAUACGUAGGUCCCGAGCGUUGGUCCGGAUUUUUUGGGCGUAAAGCGAGGCAGGUGGUUUUUAUUAAGUCUGGUGUAAAAGGCAGUGGCUCAACCAUUGUAUGCAUUGGAAACUGGAGACUUGAGUGCAGGAGAGGAAGAAGUGAAUUCAUGUGUAGCGGUGAAAUGGCGUAGAUAUAUGGAGGAACACCGGUGGCGAAAGCGGCUUCUCUGGCCUGUAACUGACACUGGAGGCUCGAAGCGUGGGGAGCAAACAGGAUUUAGAUACCCUGGUACUCCACGCGUAAAAGAUAGUGUAGAUGUAGGGAGCUAUAAGUUCUCUGUAUCGCAGCUGAACGCAAUAAGCACUCCGCCUGGGGAGUACGAGCAAGGUUGAAACUCAAAGGAAUUGACGGGGGCCGCCACAAGCGGUGGAGCAUGUGGUUUAAUUCCGAAGCAACGCGAAGAACUUACAGGUCUUGACAUACUCGUGCUAUUCCUAGAGAUAGGAGAGUUCCUUCGGGACACGGGAAUAACUCAGGUGGUGGAUGGUUGUCGUCAGCGUCGUGUCGUGGAUGUUGGGGUUAAGUCCCGCAACGAGCGCAACCCCUAUUGUUAAGUUGCAUCAUUAAGUUGGGCCACUCUAACGAGACUGCAGGUGAUAAACCGGAGGAGGUGGGGAUGACGUCAAAUCAUCUGGCCCCUUAUGACCUGGGCUAAUCACACGUGCUACAAUGGAUUGGAACAACGAGGUCGCGAGACAGUGAUGUUUUUAGGCUAAUUCCUUAAAAACCAUUCUCAGUUCGGUUGUAGGCUGCAACUCGCCUAACAUGAAGUCGAAUCGCUAGUAAUCGCGGAUCAGCAACGCCGCGGUGAAUACGUUCCCGGCCUUGUAACACCGCCCGUCACAAACACGGGAGUUGGGAGUACCCGAAGGUAGGUUUGCCUAACGCAAGGAGGGCGUUCCUAAGGUAAGACCGAUGACUGGGGUGAGUCCGUAACAAAGUGCGUAUCGGAAGGUGCGGCUGGUCACCUCUCUUUCUAAGGAAUAU